rnacentral:rRNA from 1 species
ACGAACGCUGGCGGCAUGCCUAACCCAUGCAAGUCGAACGAGACCUUCGGGUCUAGGGGCGCACGGGUGCGUAACGCGGGGGAACCUGCCCUUAGGUUCGGAAUAACCCCCCGAAAGGGGUGCUAAUACCGGAUAAUGUCCUCGGACCAAAGAUUUAUCGCCUUUGGAUGGGCCCGCGUUGGAUUAGCUAGUUGGUAGGGUAAAAGCCUACCAAGGCGACGAUCCAUAGCUGGUCUGAGAGGAUGAUCAGCCACACUGGGACUGAGACACGGCCCAGACUCCUACGGGAGGCAGCAGUGGGGAAUAUUGGACAAUGGGCGAAAGCCUGAUCCAGCAAUGCCGCGUGAGUGAUGAAGGCCUUAGGGUUGUAAAGCUCUUUUACCCGGGAUGAUAAUGACAGUACCGGGAGAAUAAGCUCCGGCUAACUCCGUG